rnacentral:rRNA from 1 species
UACGAAGGGGGCUAGCGUUGCUCGGAAUCACUGGGCGUAAAGCGCACGUAGGCGGCUUUCUAAGUCAGGGGUGAAAUCCUGGAGCUCAACUCCAGAACUGCCUUUGAUACUGGGAAGCUCGAGUUCGGGAGAGGUGAGUGGAACUGCGAGUGUAGAGGUGAAAUUCGUAGAUAUUCGCAAGAACACCAGUGGCGAAGGCGGCUCACUGGCCCGAUACUGACGCUGAGGCGCGAAAGCGUGGGGAGCAAACAGG